GGGAGCUGCUCAGGAGGAUAGAUAGAGGGAUCAGAAUAUGGACAGGGGGACAGAAGCACCAGAUGAGGCAGAAGACAGAAGGCAGAAGGCAGGCUCAUCAGUGCAGAGAACACUCCAAGGAGGGUUGAAGAGAGCAGAUGCUUGACUGCUGAGGAGGAAAUGGCUUUGUGUUGGAGGAGUCCUGAUUACGCCCUCCAUAAAGAAUCUGACCAGCUCCCUUCAGGAUGCCGCUAACAGACACUCUCUCAUUUGUGCACCAGCUGACAGGCUUUAAUCUUAUACACAAACAUAAGCAAGUGCAUUUUGAUUUACUCUGUAUUACCAUUCAUCUGGCUUUUUUUUUUUUUUUUUUAAUAUUUAGUGUGGGUCUAUGAAAUUGUGUGUUAAUGUUGAUUGUUAACUUUGUGAUCUGGUUGCAAACCUUCAUCAUCAUAAAAAGUUUGAAGUCUUUUGUUUUUCUGGUGCCAUUUUUUAUGCAUCUGUCAUCAGAACCCUAAUGUAUUACACACUAAGUGGGUUUAGGAUGCAAAAGCUCUGUAUUUGCAAUAUGGCAGAAACAUGCAGUUUUUGAGUCAUAUAGCAGUUCUUGCACAUGCUUGUUUUUAGGAUCUCAGUCAUAGCCAGUUAUACAUUAAUAAAUAGUAUAUGACAAUCCA